rnacentral:rRNA from 1 species
GACAGAGGUGCCGAGCGUUAGGCGGAAUCACUGGGCUUAAAGCGUGUGUAGGCGGGCGAUCAAGUACCUUGUGAAAUCCCACGGCUCAACCGUGGAACUGCUGGGUAUACUGGCGGUCUUGAGCCACUUAGGGGCUACCGGAACAAAUGGUGGAGCGGUGAAAUGCGUAGAUAUCAUUUGGAACGCCAAUGGUGAAAACAGGUAGCUGGGAGUGUGCUGACACUGAGACACGAAAGCCAGGGGAGCAAACGGG